UAGGGAAUCUUCGGCAAUGGGGGGAACCCUGACCGAGCAACGCCGCGUGAGUGAAGAAGGUUUUCGGAUCGUAAAGCUCUGUUGUUAAGGAAGAACGAGUGUGAGAAUGGAAAGUUCAUGCUGUGACGGUACUUAACCAGAAAGGGACGGCUAACUACGUGCCAGCAGCCGCGGUAAUACGUAGGUCCCGAGCGUUGUCCGGAUUUAUUGGGCGUAAAGCGAGCGCAGGCGGUUAGAAAAGUCUGAAGUGAAAGGCGGUGGCUCAACCAUUGUAGGCUUUGGAAACUGUGUAACUUGAGUGCAGAAGGGGAGAGUGGAAUUCCAUGUGUAGCGGUGAAAUGCGUAGAUAUAUGGAGGAACACCGGUGGCGAAAGCGGCUCUCUGGUCUGUAACUGACGCUGAGGCUCGAAAGCGUGGGGAGCGAACAGG
rnacentral:rRNA from 1 species